rnacentral:rRNA from 1 species
GACGAACGCUGGCGGCGUGCUUAACACAUGCAAGUCGAACGGAAAGGCCCUGCUUUUGUGGGGUGCUCGAGUGGCGAACGGGUGAGUAACACGUGAGUAACCUGCCCUUGACUUUGGGAUAACUUCAGGAAACUGGGGCUAAUACCGGAUAGGAGCUCCUGCUGCAUGGUGGGGGUUGGAAAGUUUCGGCGGUUGGGGAUGGACUCGCGGCUUAUCAGCUUGUUGGUGGGGUAGUGGCUUACCAAGGCUUUGACGGGUAGCCGGCCUGAGAGGGUGACCGGCCACAUUGGGACUGAGAGACGGCCCAGACUCCUGCGGGAGGCAGAAGUGGGGAAUAUUGCACAAUGGGCGGAAGCCGGAUGCAGCAACGCCGCGUGCGGGAUGACGGCCUUCGGGUUGUAAACCGCUUUCGCCGGUGACGAAGCGGGAGUGACGGUAAUGGGUAAAGAAGCACCGGCUAACUACGUG